AUUGAACGCUGGCUGCAUGCCUUACACAUGCAAGUCGAACGGCAGCACGGGAGCAAUCCUAGUGGCGAGUGGCGAACGGGUGAGUAAAGUAUCGGAACGUGCCCAGUCGUGGGGGAUAACGUAGCGAAAGUUACGCUAAUACCGCAUACGAUCUAUGGAUGAAAGCGGGGGAUCGCAAGACCUCGCGCGAUUGGAGCGGCCGAUAUCAGAUUAGGUAGUUGGUGGGGUAAAGGCUCACCAAGCCGACGAUCUGUAGCUGGUCUGAGAGGACGACCAGCCACACUGGGACUGAGACACGGCCCAGACUCCUACGGGAGGCAGCAGUGGGGAAUUUUGGACAAUGGGCGAAAGCCUGAUUCAGCCAUGCCGCGUGCAGGAUGAAGGCCUUCGGGUUGUAAACUGCUUUUGUACGGAACGAAAAGGUUUGGCCUAAUAAGCUGAGCUCAUGACGGUACCGUAAGAAUAAGCACCGGCUAACUACGUGCCAGCCGCCGCCGUAA
rnacentral:rRNA from 1 species